GGCGCGAUGGCGGAGUGGUGACGCAGCGGAUUGCAAAUCCGUGUACACCGGUUCGAUUCCGGUUCGCGCCUCCA
rnacentral:tRNA from 3 species